rnacentral:rRNA from 1 species
UGGUGGAGUGAUUUGUCUGGUUAAUUCCGAUAACGAACGAGACUCUAUCCUGCUAAAUAGUCCCCUCGCAAUAAUUACGUGGGUUGACUUACUUAGAGGGAGUUCGCUACUCAUAGUGGCACGAAAUUGAGCAAUAACA